AGAACGUGGAACUUGUCAGAAAGUGAUUUGAUAUCGAUAGGAAAUAAGGCGAACCAGACACCUUUAAAAUCGUGCCAAUGCAGGGAGAGCGAGGACAAAUCAGGCUACAUUAACGAGAUGUAGAUUUGGUUGACUGGAAACUACUAGAUUUGGCCGAACAAACUCCCCUUGAUGAACUCAAUUCGAUAACUUCAAAUUCGGGUUUUCAUUUUGAGGGGGGGGGGGGAGUUUGGUUUUUUAAAUUUCAUUUCUAAUUUCUAUCGAUUUCGUAUUAUUGUAAUUCGUAAGCAUACUAGAUGCUGAUUAGAACAAAAUUAGACAAGUGUCGUCUGCUCUCUUUUAGUUAAAAAUUUCGAAAAAGUCAGACAAAGACAAAGUGCAAGAUUUAUAUUGUUGUAGAUUUAUUUGUUUUUGAUAAACAUCAUACUCCAUGCUGUUUGGCGGAUUUGAGGCCAGCCAUCAUAACUACACAAUAUGCAAGUUUUUAUUGUGUAGGUGCUAACCUGUACCCAGCAACAAUCUCAGGAUCAUCGAUUGGAUAAUCAGCAUCCCCUUCAAUUGGAGAAACGUCCGGUGCCAAUCGAGUUAAGGAUCUCUCUCUUCCCCUUUCUUUAAAUGUCCUCGUGUACGCCCAUGUGAAUGUGGGUGUAUUCACGAGGACACCCUUUUUACCCUAUCCCGUCUGGUGCCAUUUAACUCUUCAUCGGAUGGAUGGAGCAACUGUAGAGAUGCCUGGCCGUAUUUCCCAGGCAUAAAGGUAGGACCAAAAUUUAUCCCUAUUCUUCCUUUUUAGCAAUU